GACGAACGCUGGCGGCGUGCUUAACACAUGCGAGUCGAACGAUGAAGCUGGAGCUUGCUCCAGUGGAUUAGUGGCGAACGGGUGAGUAACACGUGAGCAAUCUGCCCUUGACUCUGGGAUAACUGCGGGAAACUGUAGCUAAUACCGGAUACGACACCUUGGGGCAUCCCGGGGUGUGGAAAGAAUUUCGGUCAAGGAUGAGCUCGCGGCCUAUCAGCUUGUUGGUGAGGUAAAGGCUCACCAAGGCGACGACGGGUAGCCGGCCUGAGAGGGUGACCGGCCACACUGGAACUGAGACACGGUCCAGACUCCUACGGGAGGCAGCAGUGGGGAAUAUUGCGCAAUGGGCGAAAGCCUGAUGCAGCAACGCCGCGUGAGGGAUGACGGCCUUCGGGUUGUAAGCCUCUUUUAGCAGGGAAGAAGCGAAAGUGACGGUACCUGCAGAAAAAGCACCGGCUAACUACGUGCCAGCCGCCGCCGUAA
rnacentral:rRNA from 1 species